GUAUAGCAAUAGCUACUUGCAUCAUAGUAGAUAUGAUGCAAGAUCGACUAUGUUGAAUAAAAUUCUAGGUAGAAUUAUGAUAAUGACAUUGUCUGCCUAUGUGUCUUGACCAAAUUACGUGCCAGCAGUCGCGGUAAUACGUAGAAGACUAGUGUUAUUCAUGUUUAAUCGGUUUAAAGGGUACCUAGACGGUAGAUCAAGCUUUCUAAUAAAGGAAAAGGACUAAUUUACUAGAGUUACUUAUGAGGGGGUAUUAAAGUACUGCUGGUGUAGAGAUGAAAUUCUGUCAUACCUCUUUUCAAAAGAAAAACCAUGGCACAGGUAUAGGCGAAGGCAUCCCCUUAUGUGAUAACUGACGUUGAGGGACGAAGGCUUUGUGUAGCGAACAGGAUUAGAUACCCCAGUAGUCGAAGCAGAAAAUGAUGAAUGUCAUAGAUUAGAUAUAUAAGUUUAUUCUAUAAAUGAAAGUGUAAGCAUUCCACCUCAUGAGUAAUUUGGCAACAUUGGAACUGAAAUCAUUAGACCGUUUCUGAAACCAGUAGUGAAGUAUGUUGUUUAAUUUGAUGAUCCGCAAAAAACCUUACCACAAUUUGAAUAUUUAUAUUAUUUAUUGUUUUAUUAUUAAUAUUCUUAUUAUWAKWUAUUGUUUUAUUAUUAAUAUUCUUAUUAUAAGAAUAUUAAUAAAAAGGCAAUAAGAUAUAUUUACAAGCGUUGCACGGCUGUCUUCAGUUAAUGUCGCGAGACUUUGGUUAGUUCCAUUAAAUUAACGUAAACCCUUACUUUAUUUUUAUAUAGAGUAGUUCCCCGCUAUAUUGGAUAUGAUAACAGG
rnacentral:rRNA from 1 species